rnacentral:rRNA from 1 species
UACAGAGGUCCCCAAGCGUUUGAUCGGAUUCACUGGGCGUAAAGGGUGCGUAGGCGGUCGGGGUAAGUCUGAUGUGAAAAUCUCACAGCUUAACUGUGAAACUGCAUUGAAUACUAUCCGGCUCGAGGAAUGGAGGGGAGACUGGAAUACUUGGUGUAGCAGUGAAAUGCGUAGAUAUCAAGUGGAACACCAGUGGCGAAGGCGGGUCUCUGGGCCGUAACUGACGCUGAGGAGCGAAAGCGUGGGGAGCGAACAGG